rnacentral:rRNA from 1 species
AGAGUUUGAUCCUGGCUCAGGAUGAACGCUGGCGGCGUGCCUAACACAUGCAAGUCGAACGGGGCGCGCCGGCGGGGGCCCUCCGGGGCUGAAGCCGGCGCCGCCCAGUGGCGGACGGGUGAGUAACGCGUGGGCAACCUGCCCCGCACUGGGGGACAACAGCCGGAAACGGCUGCUAAUACCGCAUGGGCGCACAGCCCCGCAUGGGGCGGUGCGGAAAGCCUUGGCGGUGCGGGAUGGGCCCGCGUCUGAUUAGCUUGUUGGCGGGGCAACGGCCCACCAAGGCGACGAUCAGUAGCCGGCCUGAGAGGGUGGGCGGCCACAUUGGGACUGAGACACGGCCCAAACUCCUACGGGAGGCAGCAGUGGGGGAUAUUGCACAAUGGGGGGAACCCUGAUGCAGCGACGCCGCGUGGGCGAUGGAGUGCCUCGGCGCGUAAAGCCCUAUCAGCAGGGAAGAAAAUGACGGUACCUGACUAAGAAGUCCCGGCUAAAUACGUGCCAGCAGCCGCGGUAAUACGUAUGGGGCAAGCGUUAUCCGGAUUUACUGGGUGUAAAGGGAGCGCAGGCGGCCUGGCAAGCCUGAUGUGAAAUACCGGGGCCCAACCCCGGGGCUGCAUUGGGAACUGCCAGGCUGGAGUGCCGGAGAGGCAGGCGGAAUUCCUAGUGUAGCGGUGAAAUGCGUAGAUAUUAGGAGGAACACCAGUGGCGAAGGCGGCCUGCUGGACGGUGACUGACGCUGAGGCUCGAAAGCGUGGGGAGCAAACAGGAUUAGAUACCCUGGUAGUCCACGCCGUAAA